rfam:Nelumbo nucifera unplaced genomic scaffold scaffold00052, whole genome shotgun sequence
AAGCCAUGGUGAGAGCAGCUUCUCUGCAAAUCCUUAAAUCUUUCCCAAGCCUCAUACAAUGAUUCAUUCUCAAAUUGCUGGAAGGUAAUGAUGUCUUUGAUGAUCUU